rnacentral:tRNA from 1 species
GCUCAGUUGGUAGAGCAUGGUGUUUGCAAUGCCAGGGUUGUGGGUUCGAUUCCCAU